UACGGAGGAUCCAAGCGUUGUCCGAAUUUAUUGGGUUUAAGGGGUGCGUAGGCGGAUCUUUAAGUCAGUGGUGAAAUCCUGCAGCUUAACUGUAGAACAGCCAUUGAAACUGAGGAUCUUGAAUUUGGUUAAAGUAGGCGGAAUGUAUCAUGUAGCGGUGAAAUGCUUAGAUAUGACAUAGAACACCAAUUGCGAAGGCAGCUGGCUACAGGGAUAUUGACACUGAGGCACGAAAGCGUGGGGAUCAAACAGG
rnacentral:rRNA from 1 species